GAUUUUUGUUCGCACUUUCUUCAUUUCCUGGCCUCCAGAACUGUGCUAAAUACACUUGUUCUAGAUAAUUAAAAAUAUGUCAUGCAGCUCCGACUUUGUGCCUUUAUUUUGCUCUUAGUUGGCAUUUUGUUGGCUUUCCAUUUGUAUUUAAUAAUGGAGCCUUUUAGCAAUAUAUGUGGCUACGUAUUCCAGGCUCGUUUCUGAUUUUUGGGCUUUUAUUUGCGGAUUUUGUUGUUUAUGCAUAUUUUCCAUCGUUCAUCCGUUUAUUUUUACGGUGUGCCAAUCGGAUUUUGUAUUGGAGAUCUUUACACUCGACUGGCCCGCGAUUGUAAAUAUGUCGGAUAUCACGACUCGGUUGUUUCGCAAUUUUCCAUCAGAAAAUCAAGCCGUGCAUACAAAUUAAUCCAAUACUUUUUUGCCAAGUAGUGAUUUUUUCCACUGGGCCAAGGAGCUGGAUCCGCCGAUGCAUUUGCUUAAUUAUUUCCAUCGCCGCGGCAACCACAAAGAGAUCUUCAGUGAAUGGGCCAGGACUAUUGGCAAAACACUCAACAAAUUGAUGGGAAAGUUCAACCGCAGAGUGUAAAUACAUCCGACCGCAUAUUAAAGCCGCGCUCCAACUAUUUUCCGCCCGGCCCCAUGCCGGCUGGCAAAUUAAUUGGGAUAAGGUAUGGCAAGGAGAGGACGUGGGUCGGUGCUUGACACUCGAAAUUAAUUUGACUCACGCCAAUAGAAACGCUUGAAAUUGUUGCUAAACAAAUUUUCACUUUAUACCCCUCGGGUCUUAGUCUCGGUUUAGUUUCUGCUUUGGCUG